UUGCCCAUUUAAGGCUGACUGUGCCCUGAGUGGCCAACACAGAGGGGUAGAGUAGUUCUCUCAUAAACCUGAAGCAGAGGCUAAACCCCUGCUUUGGAUCCUGUCGGGAGGUACACAU